GAUCAUGGCUCAGAACGAACGCUGGCGGCAGGCCUAACACAUGCAAGUCGAGCGCGCCCUUCGGGGUGAGCGGCGGACGGGUUAGUAACGCGUGGGAACGUACCCUUUGGUAGGGAAUAGCCACUGGAAACGGUGAGUAAUACCCUAUGAGCCCUUCGGGGGAAAGAUUUAUCGCCAAAGGAUCGGCCCGCGUUAGAUUAGGUAGUUGGUGGGGUAAUGGCCUACCAAGCCUACGAUCUAUAGCUGGUUUUAGAGGAUGAUCAGCAACACUGGGACUGAGACACGGCCCAGACUCCUACGGGAGGCAGCAGUGGGGAAUCUUGGACAAUGGGGGCAACCCUGAUCCCAGCCAUGCCGCGUGAGUGAAGAAGGCCUUAGGGUCGUAAAGCUCUUUCGCCUGUGAAGAUAAUGACGGUAGCAGGUAAAGAAACCCCGGCUAACUCCGUGCCAGCAGCUGC
rnacentral:rRNA from 1 species